rnacentral:rRNA from 1 species
UACAGAGGGUGCAAGCGUUAAUCGGAAUUACUGGGCGUAAAGCGUGCGUAGACGGUUACAUAAGUCGGGUCGUGAAAGCCCCGGGCUCGAACCUGGGAAUUGCAUUCGAGACUGCGUGAGCUAGGGUGCGGAAGAGGGAAGCGGAAUUUCCGGUGUAGCGGUGAAAUGCGUAGAUAUCGUAAGGAAGACCGGUGGCGAAGGCGAGUUCCUGGACAGUUGCUGACACUGAGGCACGAAGGCUAGGGGAGCAAACGGG